UAUUGUACAAAUAUGCUGGUAUGGAAAUAUUGGUUUGGCAAACUGUAUUUUUCGAAUGUGAUCACGUUACUUCUAGUCUCACAUAUUCUAGAACCUUGCCACUUCCGGAUGAAGAAUUAGAAUCUAUGGCUCUCCUCUUGAAUUUAGGUGGGUCUUUGUAACUGGCACAAUGGGAAGAAAGAAAAAAAAAAAAAAGCCGAAGUGACACAAUGUGACUUUGAAGGGUCAGUAAUAAUAAAAGGUGAUGCAGCUUCCAGAAGACUCCCGCUUUCUCUCAGGAUGCUCUCUUACAGAAUCCAGCCACCAUGCUACGAGGAAGGCCAAGCCCCACGCAGGUAGUUUCUGCCAACCGUCCAGGCUGAGGUCCCAGAGAAGAGCCAGUGUCAACAACCAGACAAAUGACAUCCCUGAAGGAGCCAACCUCAAAACCCAAAGCUUGGCAGAAACCAUUGAUGUUUGCAGCCUGUGCUCCCAAUGGCACAUUUCACAGAAAAAGCCCCCGUCUCCACUCUCGACAUUCACAAACAUCGAUACGAAGGUCAUGUCUCCCCGCUGACAUCCUCGCUCUCCUCUGUUGGGGGCCUUCUCCCUCAUCACUGACUCAGCCCCAGCCUGUCCCUCUGCACACCAGGUAGCUUCAGAACCCACCCUGAGCAGCCCGAUGUCAACACAGGAAGCUACAGGUGCAAAGGUACAGAUCAGUCAAGGAACAAAAGACAGCCACGGCCCCAACUGGCGACCAGAUUUCGUCUUGGCCAGAUGACUUUCCAGAGUGAUAAGACUCAGGAAGCCAAGAGAAGGGGGAGCUCCUAUUUCUACGCCUACUCUGAUACUUCUUUCAAAGUGAAACUUAAGGGAAGUUUCCCCAUCUGGUCCCUUCACCUCUGUCUCGGCCCGCUCAGGCUGCCGUAGGGCUUCAGGCUGUGGGGCUUCAACAGCAGACAUUUCUGCUCACAGUUCCGGAGGCUGGGAGUCUGAGAUCAGCAUGAUCGGUUCCCAGCAGGAGCCUCUUCCUGGUGUGGAGAUGGCCACCUUCUCCUAUACCCUCAAAUGGGGGAGAGAGAUCAUCCCUCUGGUGACUCUUCUUAGAAGGGCACUAAUCCCAUCAUGGCGGCCCCACCAUCCUCAUGACCUCAUCGAAACCUACUUAUUUCCCCGAGGCCCCGCCUCCAAAGACCAUCACAAUGGGGGUUAGGGCUUCCAGCUCCACACCUGCCAACGGCCUGUGCACAAUCACAGCCAGCCGCUGGGACUGUUCUGGGAGCGGGCAGCACAGAGGAUUGUGCAGCCUCUAUCUCCUGCCUAUCUUCCCGUCUCAAGCCCUGACAGAGGAGCCCACUG